rnacentral:ncRNA from 1 species
GCUGGGGGUGCCCUGAAGGGCUGAGAUCAUACCCCUGAACUUGAUCCGGACAAUACCGGCGUAAGGAAGCAAGAAUCUU